GCAGCCAUGUAAGAGGUGCCUUUUGCUUUCUCCCAUGAUUGUGAGACCUCCCAACCACAUGGAACUUGAGCCCUGAAGCAUGGCAUUGAGAAGCUGCCUAAGAAGGAGGCAGAUCCAUCAGCCUGGGUGCCCGACUGAUUACCCUGAGCAGAGCUCCCCAGCCCACCUGUGAUGGACGCAUGGAGCUUGAGCAAGGAAUAAAUAUUCGUUGCUGGAGCCCAGCUGGGACAAUGUGUGAAUCAACGCAUGAAGGAGUGAGUGAGCAGCUAACCAAAUGAAAGAAUACUCAGAUAUCUGGGGUACAGUUCCCCUCCAGGUUUGCACAGCAUCUGCUGAAGUCUCCACUAGAAACUCAAUGGAAGGUCCCCACCGGAAACUGAAAGUCUCCUAGAGUGGCUUUGAGUUGCGGUUUCACCCUCCCUGCAGAUCCACAGGGGAGGCUGGGGCAGAUGGAAAAUACCAACUUGAUGGUCUGUGGCCACACCAUGCUGCUCCCCAAGGCCCCUCAGAAUUUCACUGCCCAAUAUGGUAGCGCCCAGCCUGAAACGUGGCCAGUGUGAAUUGAGAUGGGCUGGAAAUGCACCAGACUUCCAAGAGCUGGACAAAAACCAUAUACUUUCCAUCCAGCUGUUUGGCAUUGGAUACUGCUGCCUCUGCUUGACUUGAGAAUGUGUGAGAAAAGCUGUGUUUAGACAACUGAAAACCAUGAGCUUGAAAGUAGUGGGGGCACACUCUUGGAGACUCCAGUUGCUCACCAGCUUGGACAAACCACUGGACUCAAAUGAUCAGGUAGAAAUUCAUCACUGGAGAGAACACAGUGGAAUGGCUUCAGCGAAAACUCACUCUGAAGGUCUUCAGGGCAACUUUAAGACUUGCCCCUGGCCGGGCACAGUGGCUUAUGCCUAUAAUCCCAGCACUUUGGGAGGCCGAGGCGGGUGGAUCACCUGAGGUCAGGAGUUCAAGACCAGCCUGGCCAAUAUGGCGAAACCCUGUCUCUACUAAAAAUCCAAAAAAUUAGCCGGGCGUGGUCGUGGGCGCCUGUAAUCCCAGCAACUCGAGAGGCUGAGGCAGGAGAAUUGCCUGAACCCGGGAGGCAGAGUUUGAAGACAGCCGAGAUUGCACCACUGGGCAACAAGAGCAAAACUCCAUCUCAAAAAAAAAAAAAAAAAAAAAAAUACUUGCCCCGGCUUUUUGUGUGAUGGACUUUCUAUUUACAGACGUGAUAUUUAUCUAUGACUUUACUCAGAGUCUGGCUCAUAGACCAGAAGGACUGGUAUCUCCUGGAGCUUGCAGGAAAUGCAAAAUCUCAAACCCCUGUAUUAGUCAGGGUUCUCCAGAGAAGUAGAGCCAAUGGGAUAGAGACAGGGAUAGGGAUGAUAGAGAUGGAGAUAGAGGUAGAGAUCCAUUGAUUCCUCUGUUAAUAAAUUGGCUCAUGCAGUUGUGACAAUUUCGAAAUCUGCAAGGUAUGUCAGCAAGCUGGAGACCCAGGGAACAGUUGAUGUUGCACCUUGAGUACAAAGGCAGUGUGUCUGGAGCCAUAAUAUCUUCUUGUUAGGAAGACUUUGGUCUUUUCUCUUCUGGCCUUCAACUGCUUGGGUGAGGCCCGUCCCCACUACAGAAGACAAUAGUCUGUUCUACUCAGAGUCUACUGAUUUAAAUGCUCAUCUCAUCCCAAAAAAUACCCUCACAGCAACAUUUAGCCUGUGCAUUUGACCAAACAACUGGGUACCAUGCCCCCCCUCCCAAGUUGACACACAAAAUUGACCAUCAUACCCUCCCCACCCCCAGUCUUACUGAAUGAGAGAGAAUCUGUGCUUCAACAAGAUCCCCAGAAGAGGUAUAAGCGCAGGGAAGUCUGAGAAGCACCACCUUUGAGGCUUAUCCAGGAUGCCCACAUGAGCCUUCUCUGGAUAUGUCAGAUCCCCUUCCUGGCCCCCUAGACACCUCCUCCACUCCCCAAACUUGGAAGCAACAUUGUGGGGAAGCAGGCAGUGAGGCGCUCAGUCUACCACGUUGUGAGAUACACAGCUCCAUCUGUGUAUCAUGAUUUGAUCCAAGGGAAAACAAAAGAUCCAGAAACAUAAGUACUUUUUUGUGAGCUCUCAAAAACUUCCUGUGACAAGAUCAGGUCGUUGAUGCGAGAGCCACACUUGUUUCUUUUUCCUCUUUAUUCUCCACCUCUGACAUAAUACUUAGCAUAAAAAAAAAUCCAAUAAACACCACUGAAUCAAUUAUCUAAGCCUCAGUUUCCCUCUUGUAAUAUGUACUUACCUGGUUGUGGUAGGAAAGACACCAGGCAUGAGAAACACUUAAAAGCCCAGGACCCUGAGCUGGGCACAUGGUAGGUACUCAGGAAGUCAUUGCCGAGUGUUCAGUGCAUGCUUGUUGAAUGAGUAAAUGAGGUCAGGCUUCAGCAUGCAAACACUCGCUAUAAAGCAGGAACCCUGUGCCCUGAGUGCACAAAAUAGAUAUCGAGAAGGAACACAGGCUCAGACAUCAGUGCCAUAUCUGAAGACAUUCAGCUAAUAACAGGAUGGAGUCCAAUCUGCUGGUGUGUGCACACCUGUGCCUGGGUGUCUUUGCUGGUGUGUGCACAUGUGUCUACAUGUGUGGUCGUGAGAGUACACACAGGGGCUGGAGGGUGGGGAAGGGCUUAAUCUAAUCCUGAAAGUGCCAGCAGAACUCUUGGGUGUCCCUCAAAGUCAAGCUUCUUUCCAGGUCAUCGAAGUUUUCACUUGGGUAAUAAUGCACGCAUAAUUAACUGAACAAAUAUAAUGAAUCUAUCUGUAGUGACAUGAUAGUUGGUGCUGAAUCCUAUUAGAGCACAUUUAAUUAAAAAUGCAUUAAACCUUCAAGCUUCUAAACACACCCUGCGCUUCUUCAAAGCCGCCCCUCCGUUAAAGUCUUCCCCACUAUUAACUAUGAGUCAGCCUGUGACCCUUUGGGCAUGACGGGGUGAGGUGAAGUGGCUCUUAAAUGCCUGUGCCAGUAUAUCACAGGCACUAAUGGAUUUAAAUCAGGGAGAUUAAUUCCAUUCAUUCGGCUCCUCAUUUCAGAAACAACUGUCACGCUGAGCCUAAUUGCUGAAGAUGGUUGAAGGCACCAGGAGGCUGGAGUUUCCUGGAGGUGGUUUGUGGCCAACCGUCAAUUACUUGGGCUGCUGUGCAGUGGGGAUAGAAGGAUGAUUAGAAUCCACAGACAACCCAUUGGCCUUUGUUUACCAUUAACUUCUGUUUUCUCCACCAGCCAAGCUCCUCCAGACCCAGGAGAUGGCUCUUCCCUCUGUGUAGCACACUCUUUCCAGUCAAGGGGUCUUGCACUGCUAUUUCCCCUUCUGCUUUGCUUGGUUCAUUCUUACUGACCCUCCAAAUACUGAAGGAAUGAAUGGAGAAAUAAGUAAAUGAGAGAUGUGGCCAAGAGUCUCCAAGAGAGGAAAUUAAAAAAUCCUAUACCUGUGAGGAACUGGCCCACUUGCAAAAGGCGGACUCAUUUGUCACUGUGUUUGCUGGCUGCUCGCACCACACAGUUUCCAGCCUAGGCAUUAUUUCCAACCUCUUUUUCCAAAGGGUCUUUCUAAGGUACAGAAAAUGGACAUAAAAUCGCCCAACGUAGUUGAGAGGUAAGGAGUAAAAGCCGGAAUUUGAACUCCUAAUCUCCUGCCACGAUUUCAUGCUGCCUCUGGGUAAUCUCCCAGCACGUUGCUUAAUCAGCUGCUGAGUCAUUGAGAGCCGGCAGAACCAGCUUCCUGCUGAGGCAGAGUGGGAGGAGGCCCGUCUGGGAGCAGCACACUGAAGGAAGGGAGGAGGAGGUGAUGUUUGGCACAAUCGGAUUGGUUCCCAUGAGGUCCAGGGCUGCGGCUCCUACAGAAGGCACUUUUUGCAUAUGGUAGGCUUCACGGGGUGCAACCUCUGUGUUGUUAGGAGAACCUCGUGCUUGCUAUGAUGCUCUGCUGUCAUUAUCUUGAAAUUCUUAGUCACAUUAAAACACGGGAGCCUACAUGUUUAUUUUGCACUGGAUCCUGCAAAUUAGCCAGUCCUGGUACUGAGGGCAGGUCCCUGGGUGAGUCUCACACAGCCUCCAUCCUUUGGUAAAGCAGCUUUCCUGAUUUAGCAAAUGCCUUACCAGAAAGCCUUUUCCUUGAAGAUGCUUUAACUUUUGUCUUCCCUGGCAAAGCUGUUUCCUUAUGGUAAAGCACCCAGCUCAUAGCUGAUAUUCAAUCCAUGAAGUAGCUCUGUCAGCAGCUGUCAUCAUGAAGACUUUGCAGCCUGCGGGUGGUAGCAUUCUGAAUCGUCAGUCUGUCUCGCUCCUGUAGCAAAUGCACGAUCCGGGAAAGCAUGUCCCAAGCUUUGUUCUGGAGAAGAUUUCUCCAGCUAUCAGAUGGUGUCUGUCAUCACAAUAGCUUAGGAGAUGCUGCUCACUCCAUCCUCCUCACUAAGUGUCACAGUACACUUGGGUAUGUACAAGUCUCUGAGAAGUCCAGCAGCAAAGACACCUUUGUGUUUUGCUGAUUCUAGCCUUUCCUAGACUAGAAGUCUUUUUUUCUAGUCUAGGAAAAGACUGUGGAAUCUUUUCUUUUUUUUCCUGAUACACACAUUCACAUUCCGUGGAACAUUUAGGACGUGGUUAUCUGGUCCUAAAGUAGUAAAGGUGAAGAUGUUGUGGGAGGUGCAAGAAAGAGCAGCAAGGAGUAGAUGGGGCACACUGCAAAGUGCGAUCCCCACAUACCUAAGUUAGUAUCAAUUACUACUAACAAAACUCGGCCAAGACUCUUUUGCAUUCGUUUUGUUUCUCUCUUUUACCCUGAUUAUAUUAAGAAAUAUGACAGGCCUGUGACUCACUGAUUAGACCAUCUUAGUCACUUUGGGUUGUCCCAGCAACAGGAGACUUAACUCUGACCAUAGGUAAGGAGCCCAGAGGACAGGAGAGCAGGGAUUUCUGAGGAUUUAACAAAUGCUUAUAAACAAAUGAUAUCACUUUGAACAAAGUAAUCAAAGUAUCAAAUGCUAUAAACACCACAGUAGGGCAAUGUGUGAAUCAUACUUGUGGUGAGACAUACAUAGAUCAGCUGCAAAGAGGAACUCAAUUCUGCAGAACCUCAGCUGGAGUAACUGAUGUGAAACAUGGACAGGGAAAUGGAAGGAAGUCAGCGGACACGGAAACUCUAGGAACUGAACUUUGACAAGGAACGCCGUCCAUAAUCCCAAGUCCUAUGACUUCAUAGAGGAAAAAAACCCUAGUGGAGCAGAACAGGGCCUCAUAGAGGGGCUGGGGCCUCACUGAGGGCUGGGAAGUUUGAUAGGACUUCCCUUGCUGGUAAGGAACAAAACUGGGUCUCAGGUUCAGGUUUGUAAAGCUAAUUUCAUACAUUUGCAGCAGAUGCUGUCAGUGUCCCUCCCCAAGCCCCUCAGCACUCAGCAUUCAUAGACAUCCUCAUCUUGCAAGCACCUGAGUCUCUCUCUGUAAGGUUUCUGUUGGCCUCAGGGCAGACCAGGGUACCAGGGAGGGCAGACCAGGGUACCAGGGAGCACAGCCCUCAAAGAAAGAUGACAGGAGUUGGUGUAAAUCUCAUGGCUUUCAUGUUACUUAGGGGGACCAAUGCUGAGGCAUGCUUAGCAUGAUCCUCUGUGAGACUGGGCCUCAGGUGUCCGCUGCAGCCGCCUGUUCAUUAGUGUGACAUGCACGGGAUUCCUUCCGUAUCCUGGCCCCUUUCUCUACUUCCCAACCGUGCUUCCUGAGACAUACUCAAAUCCUUGUCUCACACUUGGCUUCUGGGAGAAUCCAACUGCAAAUGCUGUGUUUUAUUUUUUAUUUAUGUAUUUAAUUAUUUGGAGAUAGGGUCUCCCUCUGUCACCCAGGCUGGAGUAAAAUGGCACAAUCCUAGCUCACUGCAAUAUUAAACUCCUGGGCUCCAGUAAUCCUCAGCCUCCAGGAGCUGGAACUACAGUCGUGCACAGCAAUGCCAGCUAAAGUUUCCUUUAAAUUUUUUGUAGAGUCAAGAUCUCACUAUUUCAGUCAGGUCUUGAACUCCUUGCCUCCCAAAGUUCUGGGAUUACAGCACUUGGCCUCCCAAAGUGCUGGGAUUACAGGCGUGAGCCACUGCAUCUGGCUGUUUAUUCCAUUAAAAUGAUUGAAGGAGUCUCUUGCUUUGGGAAUUUUGCUCCCGUGGUGAGAACACUAUGGGAAUGACAUCUCAAGAAUAUGGCUCCUUCAAAUGAAUUUAAAAUGGUCUUUCUAUUUUUGUCCAGUGGUUACAAUAGCUGAUGGGCUCGAGGUAAGGAGAUGCUAAGCUGCCAUUCUCUCCUUCAACCCAUGGCAUUUACUGAGCUUCUAAAUCAGUCAGGCCCUGGGCUGGACCCUGGGCAUGCAGACUGAAUCAGAGCCUUCAGGACUAGCAGGAGAGACAGGUAUAUAUAGUGGCAAGGGCAAUAUUUAUUCACUCAUUCAUUCUUUUUCCUUUUUUAUGUGCCAAAUCUUUAAUGAGGGCCUACCUUGUACUCAGGAACACCAGGAAUAAACAGAAAACAAAAAGAUAUCAUUUCUGGACUCAGUUCACCAUCUAGAGAAAAAAAAAAAAAAAAAAAAAGACCUGAAAUGGACAAAUACAGUACUGUUUGACAAAUGUCACGUAAGAAGAAGCCCAUGAUACUGAGGAUGGUAUAGGAGGGGCCGUAUCCAGGUUGAAGGAGUCAAAUAUGACAGCUGCCGUGAGAAUUACAAUCAGAAAACCAUGACCCGGAUGCUUAUCCUAUUCAUUGCUUGAGCCUGAGAACACAAACACACAGGGUGUGGCUGAAAUUCCUCUGAAAUUGUAUUGAUUUGAGAAAACUGCAAUCUUGUGUUAAAAUGUGAAUCAUACACAAGGAUGCAAAACAGUUACCGCUGACCAUAAAUCUAGGCUAUCAGAAUGGAAUCUGAUGGCUUGUCUACCAGACUGCAUUGUGAAACCAAUCAAAUGGGAGAUAGACUCACCACUUACCAAGUACCUCUGAGACACCAGGCACCCUGUGGGGUGCCCUACUCAUCAUCUUGUUUAACCAGUUGAUUGGGAAUAGCUCCAUUUUACAGAGAAAGACUGUUAGGCAGCUUUCUAAGAUGGCCCUAAUUAUUCCUUCCUUCUGGUAAUCCCCUUCCUUUAAAUGUGGGCUACACUUAAUUACCUGCUUUUAACAAACAGAAUAUAGCAAAAGUGAUGGGAUGUCAGGAGACUGAAUCAGUAACCAAAAACCUCCAGACAAAGAAAAGCCCAGGGCCAGAGGGCUUCACUGGUAAAUUUACCAAACAUUUAAAGAAGAAUUAGCACCAGUCUUUCUCAAACUCCUCAACAAAUUGAAGAGGAGAGAACACUUCUAAAUACACUUUAUGAGGCCAGCAUUACCCUAACAUCAGAGCCAGACAAAGACACAAGAAAAGAAAACUACAGACUAAUAUUUCUAAUGAAUCUUGAUGCACAAAUCCUCAAAAAAGAAGAAAACAUACUAGCAAACAUAAUUCAGCCGCACAUUAAAAGGAUUAAGCACCAUGACAAAGUGGGAUUUAUUCUUAGUAUAAAAGGAUAUUUCAACGUAAAAAAGUCAAUGUAAUAUAUCACAUUAAUAGAAUGAUGAGAAAAAAUCCACAAGAUUAUCCCAAUUGAUGCAUUUAACAAAACUUAAUACUCUUUCAUGAAAAAACACUCAACAAACCAGGAAUACAUGAAACUACCCCAACAUAAGACAGUCCACAAAUGAAAAGCUCACAACCAACAUAAUACUCAUGGUGAAAAGCUGAAAGCUUCCUCUAAGAUCAGGAAUGAGACAAAAAUGUCCACUUUUGAAUCAACCUGUAUUCAACAUAGUAUAAGAAGUCCUCGCCAGAAUUUUCAGGAAAAAAAAAAAAGAAAGAAAAAAAAGCCAGUCAAAUUGAAAAGAAAGAAGAAAAAUUAUCUUUGCUCACAAAUGACAUGAACUUAUAAAACUCCUAGAAUUAAUAAAUGGAUGCUGCAAUGUUGAAGGAUACAAAAAUCAACACACAAAAAUCAGUUAUGUUUUUAUAUACUAACAAUGAAUGAGCCAAAAAUGAAAUUAAAACAAUUCCAUUUACAAUAGCAUCAGAAAGACUAAAAUACCUAACAAUAAACUUAACCAAGGAGGUAAAAUGCUUGAGUAUUUAGACACUAAAAAUUAUAAGGCCUGCACGGUGGUUCAUACCUGUAAUCCCAGCAUUUUGGGAGGCAGGUGGAUCACUUGAGGUUAGGAGUUUGAGACCAGCCUGGCC
rnacentral:lncRNA from 1 species